CCCAGACUCCUACGGGAGGCAGCAGUGGGGAAUAUUGCACAAUGGGGGAAACCCUGAUGCAGCAACGCCGCGUGAGUGAAGAAGUAUUUCGGUAUGUAAAGCUCUAUCAGCAGGGAAGAAGAUGACGGUACCUGAUUAAGAAGCCCCGGCUAACUACGUGCCAGCAGCCGCGGUAAUACGUAGGGGGCAAGCGUUAUCCGGAUUUACUGGGUGUAAAGGGAGCGCAGACGGCAGUGCAAGUCUGGAGUGAAAGCCCGGGGCCCAACCCCGGAACUGCAUUUGGAACUGUGCUGCUAGAGUGUCGGAGAGGCAGGCGGAAUUCCUAGUGUAGCGGUGAAAUGCGUAGAUAUUAGGAGGAACACCAGUGGCGAAGGCGGCCUGCUGGACGAUGACUGACGUUGAGGCUCGAAAGCGUGGGGAGCAAACAGGAUUAGAUACCCGAGUAA
rnacentral:rRNA from 1 species